GAGCAAGAUUUUAAAGUUUCCGUCGGCACAGACCGUAUCUAUCAUAUCAUACCGUGUCAAUAAGAUACCGGCACAAUAUAGAUCCCGUGCCGAUGACACAGUUCAAAAACCCUCUAUUAUUUAAAUUAAUAAAUAAUUUUCUUAAUAAAGUUCAAAAGAUGUGAUAAAAAAAUAUAAUAAAUAAUUAGAAUGUUUUAUUGCUAAAGAAAAUAAAUAUUUUAUACUAUUAUGUGUCGGCACACAAGAAUUUUUUUGGCCAACGUGUAUCAGCAUGGCUCGGCACGCACUGUGUCAUACCGUGCCAGCAAAUUUUUGAUACGACUCCGUGCCACGGCACUUAAAUCCUUGAUAUAUAUACAUCUUCUGCUGUUUAAUUGGUAAAGAAAUGUAAAUUACCAAACGAUAAAUAGACUUUGUAAUUACAAGGUAAUAAUCAAUUACUAAAUUAGGUAGUUUAUAAACUGUUUAAAAUUUGUUUGCAAACAAAAUAUUUUCCAUUUAUAAUUAAUACGUAAUUAAUAAACACAUAAUAAUACUAACUAUUAAUUUGCAAAAAAUAAUGUAUAUCUAGUNNNNNNNNNNNUAUAUAUAUAUAUAUAUAUAUAUAUAUAUAUAUAUAUAUAUAUAUAUAUAUAUAUAUAUAUAUAUAUAUAUAUAUAUAUAUAUAUAUAUAUAUAUGCUACGGUUACUAUACUUUUGAGUAUAAGUCCUUUUAUACUUAUAAAUUUUUCGAUCAUUAAAUAAAGAUAUGUGCGGUUAGGAUGAUAGUGGUUCCCGAUUAGAAUGAUAGUACUAUUAUAUUUUUAUGACUAUAUAUAUUGUUAAUCUGAAUGAUGGAUAUUUUGGUAAUUUUGGUAUGUUAAAGUACCUAAUAUCACCUUAGUAAAAUGUGUACUAAAUAAUUAUCUAUAUUUUAGAACACUUUGUGAAGGAAACAGUCAAACAUUCAAUAAUUUUUUUUUUACGGCACAGUAUUAUAUUAUAUAAUUUAUAUUAUAUCAUGCAAUACUUAGUCAUCAAUAUAACUACAUUCAAAGAGUUCGGCCAAACAAUUAAAAGUUUAAAAGGUCUAAUUUUAGAAUAAAAUUUUUAAAGAGUACUAGUGUGCUAAAAUUUCCAUAAAUUUCUUCAUAGAAAUUCCGGAUAAAUAUGCAAGUUUAUAGUUUUAUUCGGAUUCAUAUGCAAAUUUAUCCCAAAUUAUAGGAAAAAUUUUAAAUACUAUCCAUGUGAUUUCGUAUUUUUUUAUUUUAAUAUCUUAGGGUUUAAAGUGUAUCAAUUUAAUUUUUGGUGGUUUUAUUUUUCUUUUUUUACUAUUCCCUCCGCUAACUUUUUUGUUAAAUUAAUGAUAGAGUUAAAAUUAAAAUCUACUGAAGUGAAUAUUCGAUAAAUUUAGAUGAGAUAUCUGAAGUAUUUUUGUAUAUAAUUUAACGAAAUGUUAAUAGAGGAGCUGACGAAAAGAGAAAAAUAAACCACAAAGUACUAAAUUUAUACAUUUUAAAUUAUAAGAUACUAAAAUGAGAAAGCGUGAAACCAUGUGGGGGUAUUUGAAGUUUACCCCAAAUUAUAUGGACUUAGUCGCAGCAUUGAAUUAGUGCAGGUACUACGCAGCCAUUUUACCGUUUCUUGCUUCUCUCCUCUCUCUCUCUCUCUCUCUCUUCUCUCCACUCCAUCUCUCUCUCUCUCUCUCUCUCUCUCUCUCUCUCUCUCAUCACGCUACCUCGUUCCUCGAUUCUGAAAAAAAAAAAAAAAAGCUUUUGGGAAUCGAUCCAACAAAUUCCAAAACCCUACGGAGACCUAUUCUUUGGUAAUCCUUCACGCUUCCGAUUUUUCCCUUUUUUUUUUUUUUGAAAUUUUUUCUGCCUCGAUUUACGAUUCAGAGACCCUACUCUUACUUUAUCCGGCUAUAUUUCGAUUUGAAUCUGCAAGGAAGUUCGAAUUUUGGGGUAUAUUUGUGCGAUUCAACACUGUUUCAUCAUUUGAUUUAGUUUAAGAUCUUCAGCUAUGUGCUUCAUUUUGUAAUUUUCCUUUUGUGUUGUUAGAUCGAUCCAUUGACUAGUAAUUUUAAGUUGGUUUAGUGUUAAUUUGCUUUGCAGCAUAGAUUGAAUUGGGCGGCGCAAGAAGGGAAGAAUUAAAAUGGGGUGCUAAGAUUUGGAUUUGUUCUUCUUCUGAAGCCUACUUUAUUAUUAUUGUUGUUUUUUAGGGUUUCGUAGUUGUGGAUCAACUUACUUUUGGAUGCAUGCAGUUAGAGGAAUCAAGCGAGGUUUGAAUGUAAAAUCUCAUGAGAAUGAGAAUUGGACUGAGCUAUUUGCUCAUGUGGAGCUCAUCUACUACAGUGGGAUAGCAAAAAGUUUCAAUUUGGAGUUACUUAAAUCGAUGCUCUGAGAGAAGGGGAAAUUUUGUUGUAUAAUGAAUGAAAGGAGCUGUAAUUUGGGAUAGUUCCAGGCUUUAUGUUCUUGUCUACUAGAUGCACUAUUUUUAUAAGGUUGGGAGUUCAUGGUGUUAUUUUUCGACGAUUAUUGAUUGAUUCGGUGAAAUUUCCAUGUUGUUUCACAAGUACGAAAAAUGGCAUCAAUUAGAAGAAAUACAGCAAUAUUGCAGAGAGACGUAGUGGCGCAAAAUGGGGAAGAAUGUGUGGAUAAUUCGCCUUCGCCCAAGUUGCCUCAUUCUCGGACCCACUUGGCUUUGAGAGGGUUAAUGAAUUCAGUAUUAGGUUCUGUAGAUUCUGUUCCGGUUUUGUGUAGACUAAAAGCUGCCUGUGCUGGUAUAUUGUUUCAAAGACAUUCUCGGACGUCAGAGAGGUCAAGAUCGAAAGGAAUAAGCUGGAAAAGGAUUUCUUUCCAUCUUUUUAUCUUCUUUACGAUCGGGAGUUUCAUGGCUUUUACACCAUUCUUUUCAAUUGAUGUCUCUACAAAUUUUACAGCUGAACACGAGCGGUUCCCUUUUGAGCAGGAUAUGCCAGCUGAAAGUAUUCCGAGGAGAUCACAUGAAGUGAAAAAGAAUGGUUUUAUGUUUGAUAUACCCAAAUUAGAGGACCGAUCUAGUGCUACAAUAUGGGAUGUAGGAAAUGAAUCUUUUGAUGCCUCGUACACUGUGCCUCCCUUUAACGACUUUGACUUUGUUGCCAGAAAGCUCCUUAUUAUUGUGACACCCACAUAUAAUCGGCCUUUCCAAGCAUAUUAUCUGAAUCGUCUUGCUCAUACACUGAGAGCUGUACCACCUCCUGUUCUCUGGAUAGUUGUGGAGAUGCCCUCACCGUCCAUUGAAACAGAAAAAAUGUUGAGAGCGACUGGUGUCAUGUAUAGACAUCUCGUUUGCCGGCAUAACAUCACGAGCCCAAGAAAGAGUGUUUCUUGCCAAAGAAAUAUCGCACUUUAUCACAUUGAGAAGCACCGUCUCGAUGGUAUAGUAUACUUUGCCGAUGAUGAUCAAAUUUAUUCGGUCGACCUCUUUGAAGAAAUGCGGAAAAUCAGGUAAAUGAUUUUUUAUAUGUUUGCCUUUGUAAUAUACAUGGUGUGCUGGUUGUUUUAAACUAGCCAAUUCUUUGUAGAAGAGUUUCUUCCAAUUUGAUCAUGGCAUAACAAUACAAUUGUAAGACUUCCUGAAACAGCCUUAUAUCUUGACAAUUGCGAAUUGUUCUUGUGAUGCAAAUAUUAAAGACAAUAUCUUCAAUGUGUCAGUAGUUCUUAGGGCAUUAUGUAAUUAACUGUUUCCUAACUUCAUGUCAUGGUCACUUCAAUACCUAGGCAUGUUCUGAUGGAGCUUUGAAUGGAUAUCAAUACCUAGGCACGUUCUAAUGGAGCUUUGGAAUGGAUAAUUGGAUAUAGUACUUUUUGAUACAUAACUUAGGGCAUGUUUGGCAAAGCUAUAGAACAUAGACCUGUUGCAGAAGUGUUGUAAGAUAUAGUGUUGUGCUAUUUAAAAAAAAACUAUAAAAUGUUUGGUAACUCUGUUAUAUAAGUUUUGUCUGUAAUUGAAUGUUGUUUAAUUAAUAUUUAUCUGAAAAUUAUUGUGGACUGUUGUAAAUUGAUAAAAUACUAUCAAAAUAUUAAUAUUAAUAUUUUCUAAUAAAAUAUAUUUACAAUAUCUAGUAUAAAACAAAUAAUUUAAAAAUAACUUAAUCAAAAAUAUUCUAUUUAACUUCCAAUAUCCAAAUAGUCUCAAUAUAUGCAUGAUCACUAAGUAAAUUAUACAUGAAUGUUGUCCAGGCCCAUUGCCGACAUUGUGCGCCCCACCUCUGUAGAAUCUGAAAAAGAGGGAGGACACAUGGAUUUGUGCUUCUCACAGUUCACCUAGAGGAAGAGAAUAUUAGGUUGCAUGUUAGCAAACUGGCAAAUCUGCAAAUUAGUAAAUUAAAGGAACAUAUUAAAAUGUAACAAGAAACCUCUAUAAAUAGUAGGAUUACACUUUUCUCAUGGCAGUAUGAACCAAUUAUACCUUUGGAUGAAGGGCUCUGCAGCCGCCACAGCCUGGAAAGAAGAAGUCGACGACAGCAAGCUUGUCGCCGGUGCUCAAUAACGGAUCUACGAGAUCCUACACCGAUUCAAUCUCCUUCAUGUUGGGUUGAAGCCCCUUCAUCCGCCAUUUCAUCGCCUUCCCAAUACAUAGACUCAUUUGCAAUUCAAAGUUAUCACAACCAAAUUAAUCCAAAUACCGACAAGACGAUUUAAGAAUUUGGGGAUCAAAUCCUUAUUUGGCAAAUGAAACCCACAAAAGAAUCAAAUUUGGAAACGGAAAUUGAAGGAGAAAAGGACCAAAUCAAUUAAAUCCUCUUCCAACAGCACAUCCAAAAUCUGGAAAAGCCAUAAAAAAUUGCAUCUUGUGACAUCAACAAACCUGUACAGGGAGGAAGCAGUGAUUCUCUUUAUGGCUUUUCCUCUCCGAUCCCCAAAACCAAUCUUCCACCGUGAAACCCACCACUCCUACACAAACCCUCCUUCUAUGGUCAAUCCCUAGAGAGGGAAAACAACGAGAGACCGCAACAUGGAAGGGGCUUCUUUUACGCCCUGAAACCCGUAGAGAUGGCCCAUAGGGCAAGAUGGGGCCCCCUUUUGCUGCAACCUCCCAAAAUCGAAGCUUUUGACCGAGAUCGAGGAGAGGAUGGGGAGGAGACUUUGGAGAACGACGAGGGGGAGGAAAGGGUGGAUAGUGUCCGGGGAAGGGGGAGAGAGGGGAGAAGGAGAGAGAGUGUGUGUUGUGCGUCAGCCACAAUAGUAUGGGUUCCCAAGCUUUUGCGGUUCUACUUAUAGAUUUCAAAAUGUACCCAUUACUUCCAAUCAGGGGAAAAAAAAUGUGUUUUGGCCCAGCAAAAGCUGGGCCAAACUGGUACAUACAUCUUUCCUUUCUUUUGUGAUUUUUAACGAGAAUUAAAUUUUAGAUAGUUGUGUAUAUCUUUAGGAUUUAUAUUUGCCAUUUCCAAGAAAGGAUUGUAGUGUUCAGUGAUGAUGAGAGUUCUAAGUGAUAAUGUAGGAUGUCUAGUUUUCAUCGACAAAUCAACUAGAGACUCUUUGAUUGAUUUACUUCUUAGAAAUAUACACGAAUAUAUAUGUGCAGUUAUGUCUACGUUUGUAUUUUUUUUUGGCAUCUAUAUGGUUUAUUUUGCUCUCUCUCUCUCUCUCUCUCUCUCUCUCUCUCUCUCUAUAUAUAUAUAUAUAUAGUCCAGCUACAAUCCUCUUAUGAGGACAUGAAUAGUGCAUAAUAUGGACUUUUUAGCCUUUGGAUACGUAGGGUUUAGUGAGGUCGGUGGAAUAGUAUUUGAUUCAAGGGCGAAAAAGUCUAUAGUAUGCAUUAUUUAUGUCCACUUAAGAGGACCAUUGCUGAACCAUAUACAUAUAUGUUUUAUGUAUAUGUGUAUACAUGCCGUCUCUUCUGUAUCUUGACUAUAUUGUUAGAGAUUUGCUUUGUCAGGGAAUCUCAAUGAUGUCUUUUCAGUAUUUGUUUGGUAUCUAUGCACAUAGAUGCCUAAUAAUGGUUCUAUGAUAUGGGGAUAGACAACAAAAGCAUCGUGCAUAUUCCUGAUGAAAAGUUCAUUCAUGUUGUAAAUAGAUGAAAAAAAAAAGGCUUUUCCUAAUACCAUUUGAAAAGAAAAUGCUAUAGAUUGAUGAAAAAGAAAUAGUUUUGCUGAUCCCAAUUUUGGUACUCCUAAUUACAUCUUUUGUUUCACAUGUGCCACCAUUAAUGCACUACUUAGAAUGUGUAAGUUGUAGGUUUUGUUUUUGAACACCUCGAACCGCUUCACAAAGCCUUAAAACCCUAAAUCAGUUUUAAUUUCUCAACUCAGGGCUUAAAUAUUCUUAUUGUAAUAGAGCUACUUAUGUCACAAAUAAAGUGUAAUCGAUCUUGUAAGCACUAUUUCGUUAACUUAUGCUGAAAAGGUCCUUUACAUACAGUGUUUUCUAUUAUUUUCUUUAGCUUAUUUCUUCUUUGCAUCACCAUUUCUUGCUUAGAUCUUUCUUAUGACCCCUUCUUUAUGUGACAGGCGCUUUGGCACAUGGCCAAUUGCAGUGCUCAGUAAAGCUAGAAAGAGAGUAUUACUACAAGGUCCUCUUUGCAAUGGGAGCCAAGUUAUAGGAUGGCACAGUAAUCAAAGGAGUAGGGUUCCUCGUAGAUUCCACAUUGGCUUGUCGGGUUUUGCAUUUAAUAGCACCAUUCUUUGGGAUCCCAAGAGAUGGCGGCGCCCCACUUUCGAGAACAUCAGAAUACACAGCGCCGGAAAGGAGGGUUCUCAAGUAAGUUUAUUUGCUUUAUGUGCCCCAGUUGUAGGUUUCCUUCGUCCUACUGUACUGAUAUACGAGACACAUUUUCAAGUAAAUUCUGUAAAUGUGCUGGGCUAUAAGCUCAUCAACGAGGGCAAUGCUAAGUUGCUAACAGAUUCCAAUAGAAUCGUAUAAUUUAUGCUGGGAGUAACCCGAACACUUCAUAUCAUCAGAAUUCUGUGAUUAACUGUCCUUUGGUAAUCACCUAGUGCGCUCAUCCUUUCAUCGUCGAUUUUACUACCUUACACUUUAAGCUAUAAAAGGUCUGAAUGUGAAAGGGGUUAUAGAUAUGUCAUUAUGCAAUCCGAUAAUCAUAGAAAAGCUUCCUACAUUUUUCACCAAAUAUUUCACUCUCUACGCCAUGUUUGUUCGUUCAGUUUAAUAAAAUUAUCGCUCAAACUCAAAAUUAUGUCUUUUUUUUAAAUCUUUUAUGCUAUUCUGAUUUCACUGCCUCUUCCUUGCCUAUUCAAUUUAACCUAGCUGGAAGAUAACCACUCACUGGCGUGCAUGCAAACGAACAUAGGCCGUUAUUGCUAUGGGCAAAAGAGAGAGGGGGCUGGUGUAGGGACCUUUUUGAACUUUUUGAAGAAUUUGAUGAUACAUCUGUGAAGUGUAAGCAAGUAGAAUAGCACUACUUGAACAGAAUUAAGUUGUUCGCCGAAUUUAAAAGGAUUCCGCAGAAAAAGUGCUUAGAAAGAAAUUUAAUGAGAAACUUGAAAGUGUGGGACUUGCAAAGUGCUAGGAUUUUCCUCGAUCUCUUUUAAGUAUACAUGUGUCAACUUCAUCAAAGUUUACCUUUCAUAUAUUUUUACUGAAAGUAUGUGGCAUACCUUUCUAACAUGCAAGACAGGCAUAGUAUUUGCAUAAUUACUUGUUAUUCUAGAACCAAGUUUGACACGUGUGGCACUUGGAUUAAUAUUAUUGCUAAUCCAAGUUUGAACAUUAUUUCUGCUGUCCGUUACGGCAAUGUUGAGGAGAUGACUUUGGACCUUUUUGAGCGAAAGGUACUCUGAUGAAUUGAGCCUACAGCCAAGCGAUGGACUUCCUCAAUGACGUUGUGAUCGAUGAGGGGACUAAUGUUUCUAUUCUCGCUAUAAUUAGACUUAAGAGCCAUGUGUUGCAAUUACGUCAAUCCAAUUGCCCCCUUACCUGAUAACCAAUAAGAGUAACAUGAGUAUGUGUUUACGUGCAGGAUAGCAAGUUUGUCGAGCAACUGGUUGAGGACGAGAGCCAAAUGCAAGGUUUAGCAGACAACUGCUCUAGGAUUAUGGUUUGGCAUCUAAAUCUGGAAGCUCCUCAACUUAACUAUCCAGUAGGAUGGUUGAUGCAGAAGAACUUAGAAGUUGUUCUACCUCUAGCACAAUAGUCAUGGAGUCUCCCCCCUAAAUGCCGCCUUCAACUUGCUUCUUCCGAUCGUAUGACGAAAUAUCUCCUCCUCUCUCUACAUGAGAUUUAUGAUAGAUUUGUUACCGCGCAUUGCUUCAAAUGGAGAUUUUCUCAAGAUGGUUAGAGGAAGCAACUGAUUCUUAUUUCAUCGGCGGGUUAUGUGUGGCGCUGAGAGGCGUAUUUGCCGACACAGUUAUUGUAUAAUAUUCUUUGUUUCAGUUUUUAUUGUUAUUAUUAUUAUUUUUUUAGACUCCAAAUGUCGUCUUCAAUUCUCUCUGUUUCUUUGUAUUCUUCCUGUAAACGAAAGCAUUCUCGUGCAGUUUCUAUGUUCUUAAAUCGUUUUUUGGUGACAUUCACAAGCCUUUUGGGUUAUUUUGGUGAAGCUGUAUCUCCUGUGCAUAAAAAAAUUGAAUUCGUUGCUCCUGUUUGGAUGUUCGAGCUAUGCUAUUCAGAUGUUUGAACUUUGAACAGCAUUAAUCGUAAAAGUUACUGUAGCUGAGAAUAUUGUCCUUCCUCUUUUCUUUUUCUUUUUUUUCACAACGAAAAAUAUAUAUAUAUAUAUAUAUAUAUAUAUAUAUAUAUAUAUAUAUAUAUAUAUAUAUAUUUUGAGAGAUAGGUAGCAGGCUAUCCGUUUUAUUUAUUUUAUUUAGAAAUAAAUUUAGCUGAAAAUUUGAAUCAACUAAAAUUCGAACUUGGGACCUCGCGUAUCAACCAUUAAGCCUUUUGUCACUUGCUCUAGAGAGAGUCAGUAAAAUCAAGUAUAUAUUGAUUCCAUAAUUUUACAUUUUUAUAAUAUACAAAGCAUUUGCAGAAGCACGAAAAUAAACUAUAAACGGGAGCUUAACAGGUAUCGUCAUUGCUUAGAGCAGUACAUUCAUGUUUCUGGCUACCUCUUUCACAUUCAGCUAUCUAACCCCUUGAAGAAGAUUUUGGCAAAUUAACUUUUUAACUCUUUCUUCUUUUUUUUUUUUUGGGUAAAUUACACUUUUGGUCAUCAAACUAUGAGGCGUGCGGCACUUCAGUCUUCAAACGUUAAUUUGAUAAUUUCUGACUUGAAAUUUUUAAACUGUUGCAAUAAGUUCCACAACCUAAUUUAGUUAGCUAACUAUUGAUAAAUUACUGAUAUAUAUAUAUAUGAUCGCAUCAUCAAUCACAAUAAAUACUUUUCCAUUACUUCUACAUCAACAAUUUAGCAAUAUUCAGCUAAUUAAAUUAGCUGUGGGAUUUGAUUAGAGUCCGAGUUAGAAAUUAUAAACACAAUAUUCAUUUUUAAUUAAUAAAAGUUACUAUAAUUUAAGAUUAACUGCGUCGAUAUGUCCGAGUGGUUAAGGAGACAGACUCGAAAUCUGUUGGGCUCUGCCUGCGCAGGUUCGAAUCCUGCUGUCGACGUUUCAAUCAUAAUUUUAUUUUUUCGUUUUGAUUUAAAUUCUUUAGAUCAAUUUAAACUAGUUUUUAUUUCAUCUAAGUUCCUUAGAUCAAUUUAACAAUAGUUGUUUACUUAUGUAUUUUAAGUUCCACCUAAAUUCCUACGAGUUCUAAAUUUUAAUGUUUUGAUAAGUAAUUAAAAUCCAAAGCCCCAAGUUUUCAAGUCUAGUCCACUUAACUUGAAAAUUUUUUUUUAUUUAAUAAAAACAAAAAAAUUAUAAGACGCAUCUCAUUUAGAUAAACAACACAUUAUCAUAGUCAGAUAUUAUUAACACUGCUCUGAUAUUCAAACUGAAUGGCUUCUUAGGGUGAUCACAAAUACAUCUCAUUCAAGAAUCUAUAUUUACAAUUUCCUCUCUCUCUAUAUAUAGUUUUGUGUUGUGAGUGAUACACUUUGUAUCUUAUUAAACUACUAGUUAAAGAAUAACACAAUGUAGGGUUUAGCAAGGCAAGUUAGCUCCUGCACAUGCCAAGCAAUGUUCCACAAGAACAUAACAAACUUGCACUUCAAAAAAGUAAACUUCAAGAUCUUUAAUAAGUUGCUUUCCUCAUAUCAUUACAAAUGAUUCUUUGCUUCUCAACUCAAACUUGGUAGCUACAACAAAUCCUUUCCAUGCACAUAUAAAUCUCACCCCCCCAAUCUUUCCCCUCCCUUGCACCAAUGGUGCCGAACCUCGACCUCGUCCUCCUCGCGCUCCUCCACGGCUCCCUCAUCUCCUGCGCCCUCCUCGUCGGCAUCUGCCUCCUCCUGGUAUGCCUCCUCGUCGCCUCCGUCCUCCUCCUCGUCGCGUUCGCGGCGUUCGACAUCCACGAGAGGCUGCAGUCGGUCACGUGGCUCCUCGACGCCCUCAAGGUGAAUGUGGAGAUCGGCGCGGUGCUCGUUUUGUGCAUCGUGAUCGGGCGAGCCAUCGGCGCCCUGAUCGAUCUGCGACCGAGGCUCGGUGUCGUGGUUUCGGAGAUGCGGGUGUGGGCGAGUCGCCGAUUGGAUCAGCUUAAGAAUUUGACUUUGGUUUGGGGAACUCAGUAUCUGAGAAUUGAUGCACAUUAGGGUGGAUCCUGGAGCAUGAGAGUGCAUUUCCUGCAAUGAGGAUUUCGCGCGGGAGGAAAUGGUAACAAGCGAAUCAAAUAUUACCACCUGACAUGGAUACACAUCAACACCGAUAUCUGUGUGAAAUUUUUACUUGAAAUUACUACAAUAUUAUUGUGAUAUUUCAAUGUGAAUAACUAGUUCUCAAUUUUACAUGAAUUUGUCUGAAAUAUAUAUAUAGAAUUAGGCUGGAAUAUUAUCAAUAGCACUAAGCUAUUGAUGUUAUUAGGUUUUUAUCCAUUGGAUUGAGAAAUGUGCGGUUAGUAUGAUGUGGGCCCCCUAAAGUUGAGUGGGUGGUUGGUUGAAUCGUAUAAUCCCACGAAUAAAAAUAAUCAAAAAAUUAAAUCUAACAGUGAAAAACUCAAUAGCACCAAAUCCUUGGUGCUAUCAAUAGUAUCCCAGUUAGACUAUAUAUAUAUAUAUAUAUACUAAAAAACACAAAACUAGCAUACCUUGAUGAGAAUUGUAGGGAUAUAUAACACAAUUGAAUAUUCUUAGCUUGUUUUUUUACCUUUUCUUUUUUCUUGCGUCAUAUAUGUAUGAUAAAUGAAUUUAUUGAAUUUGCUAUUNAUAUUCAAUAAAUUUAAUCAAAAUCAGUCAAUAAAUAAAUAGCAAAUUCAAUAAAUUCAUUUAUCAUACAUAUAUAACACAAUUGAAUAUUCUUAGCUUGUUUUUUUACCUUUUCUUUUUUCUUGCGUCAUAUAUGUAUGAUAAAUGAAUUUAUUGAAUUUGCUAUUUAUUUAUUGACUGAUUUUGAUUAAAUUUAUUGAAUAUAACUUGCCCAUAAUAUACAACUCUUCUUUUGAAAGACACUUUGGUCACUUCCAAAUUAAUUAACGGUCCCUUGUGGGAUUUUGAUGUGUUAGUCAAUGGGCCAGGAUUUUUUUUUAUUUUAAUCCUUUAAAAAUUUUUAAUUGACCAAAUGGACGUUGUAAUCUAUUUUGUCCAACAUAGUACCGGAUUGAAAAAUAACUCAAAGAUGGUAAUUAAAUUAUUUGCUAUCUUUGAUACAAUUGAGAAGACGGUGAAUGAUUUACCGUCUUCUCAUUAUUUUUAAAGACAGUAAAUAAUCCACGUCUUUUUCUUAAAAUCCAUAUAAUUUUAACCGCCGGAUAAAAAUUCUAAUAAUUUUCAUAUAACCUUAACAACAUAAAAAUCCUCACAACUUAUUAAGAAAAGAUCAACAAUAACAAUAUGAAAACGGACCGUGAGGUCGGCAAAAGGAUAGUUAGUUGGCGAAAUAAAAUUUUGAAAAGAUUUUUUUUGGCAAAUUAAAAAUUUUUACAGAAUUAUUAUUAAACGAAAGAAAAGUCCGUCGAUGAACGUCGUACUUUGAAUAACGUGCCUGAAGUAGUUAAAAUCCUCCCCUCAAUCAUUGACAAAUUAGAAAUAACACUUUUUCCUCCACUUUGUCAUUAUAAGAAAGGACUAAAAUUGGAUCCACAAAAUCAUCUUCAUGUUGAAUAUCUAAUAUUAGGGACAAGUGCAUGGAUUCGAAUCAUACCAGGACAGAAAAUAACAAAAUCUAAAAUAUUUUUAAAUUAAACCGAUCAGAAAUAAUCAUAACUGACUAAAUAAUCGACUCAAAAUAGAGAAAGAAAUAUACAAACUUUUCAAAAGUAAUCUAAAAUUGCAAAUCUGGGGCCUAUAACAAUUACAUUUCAAUCCCAAGGGGUUAACUAGUAGAUCUCUAAAAGUUGUUUCCGAAUUAAAGUUGCACGUUGAAAACAGAUAGCCGAGCAAAAAGUUAUAGUCAUAUAAAAAAAAAUUUCGAACUGUUUGUAAAAUUUUCCGAACUUAAAUGAGAUUUUCAAGUUUGUCCAUAAAUUCUAAUGCUAAAUAAGCCUUAUCAUUUAUAAUUGGGUUGGAAAAAUAUUCUCAAAUGUAUAGUAUUUUUAUACCUAAGGAUACUAAUUUAAGAAAAUACAAAAGAUUAAUUUGUGCUACUCUUGGGACUAAAUUUUUAUCCCAACAAAUUUUCACUAUUCCCAGCUAAAUAUGGUGGGGAUAAGAGGAAAAACUAAGAUUCCUCUUAGGUUGUGUUGGAUUCGAGAAUAUCUAUCUCCAAAAGCAAUAAAAAAUUUUUUGUCAAAAAUAGAGAAUUUAAUUCUAAUAAGUGUUAUCUUCAAUGUAUUUGACUGGAAAUUAUAUAUGUUAUUUGGUAUAGGACAAUAUUGCAAUUCCACCAACCAUGCACAUAGAAUUGCUUCCUUAAAAAAAAUAAUAAUAAAGGAAUGAGUUUCUCAACCAAUUUCAAGUAAGAAGUUGACAUCUUUUUCUUCGUUUUUUUUUUCAACUUGAGAAGUAGAAGCAAGAUGUUUGGAAAAAAAAAAAAAAAAAAAAAAAAAAGAAGAUUCUUCUGCUGUUAUCUAUAAUGUCACCGAACAAUUAUAAUAAAUCUCGGCAUGUCUGUUCAGACAUGCACUGUCCAUACAUUGAUUCGUAUCCGAUGGACAUUUCUUGAACGCGCGUUCAAUGUCGAUCCAUAACGUAUAUAACUAAUUAAUAUAUAUUUAUUAUAAUAUAUAUUAUAUAUAUAUAUAUAUAUAUAUAUAUAUAUUUUUUUCAUACAUAUAUAAUAUAAAAUAAUAAAUUUUUUAAUUUUUUAAUGAAUGCAUAUAAAAUUUUUUUGGAUAAUAUAAAUAAAUUAUAUAUAGUAGAGAAUUUUUUUUCUUAAAAUAUAUAAACUAUCAAUAAAAAUUUUACUAACUUUCGUUCCUAUAACAAAUAUAAUAAUAUUUUACCAAAAUUAAUAGUUUAUAUAUAAUAUAUUAAUAAUAAUAUAUUUUAUGAGCGUUGUCCACACUGUGAUCCAUAUUCUUAUUUUUUUUAAGCCGUCAAGUCGUCGUGUCCGAAUCGUGCCGUAUUCCAUGUUUCAUGUCAUUGCCCGUGACGUUUAGGCUGUAAUGCAAAGCUAAAAUGGUUUUUUAUUAUUAGUUCCAGAAAUGUAAAAAGUUCUUUCAUAAAACUUCUCAUUAUAGCUAUAAUAACCAGAAGCCACUAACGAUUUUGCACAGAGAAAUCAGUUAAUAAAUUUUAGUGCUGAUGAAAGUUCUCAUAAGAUUGUAUUUAUGCAGAAAGCUUUAAUUGAACCAGUCAUUUCAGACGACACUCUCAAAUUAUUUUUUUUUCACUAAUUUCUCACAAUUACACUUCUUACCUAAUUCAAUGUGUGAUUACGAAAUUAAACUAAUGCAACAAAUAUAUUCGAUCCGAUUAAAUUACUUAAAAGUAAAGAUUACUGGUGACCGUCUCUAUCACAAGUGACAAAAGGUUUGAUCGUUGGUAUCCGAGGUCCCAACUUCGAAGUCUAAUUGCUUUACAUUUUCAGUUAAGUUCAUUUCGAAUAAUAUGAAUGAAGCGGUAAAAAUAAAUAAAUAAAGAUUAUCAGAAAGUAUAGUCGCCCACUAAUCAGCGCGGAUGCAUAUAUAUCUCAGUGGGUCCAUUGACCCUAAUGAAGAUAAUGCAAAAUAUCCUAUUUUAUGAGUCCACUUAAGAAAAAGGCUAAAUUACAGAAAACCCUCCUGUCAAAACCCGUUUUUUCAUUUUCUCCUCUUAUCAUUUAAAAGCCUACACUUUGCCCCCUUGUAAAAUGAAAAAUGUGCACUUCACCCCGUACCGUUAGGGUUCCGGUAUAAAUUUUUUUUUAUGCCAAAAAUACCCCUCCACCCCUUUCCUGUUGCUUCGACGGCUUCCGGGACAGCGCCCUCGCCGGCCUCGCCCUCCUCCACGAGCUCAACCUCCUUUUCGACCGUCCCCUCGACGCCAUCUUCCUCAACUCCAACCGCCUCCGCCGCCCCAUCCCCGCCGACCUCGGCAACUCCCCGGCCUCCAUCAUCGUCCUCGCACACAGGGGCAGUCCCGUCCUCCCUCUCCGGCGCCAUCGACCUCCAGCAGCUCGACGUCGCGCACAACCGCCUCACGGGCGCAAUCCCGGAGGCCAUUUGCGCGCUGCCCUCUUCCCUAUCGAGUCCGCGGAUGAGGAGGAGAGGGAGAAAACGAAAAUGGCGAAGGGCAAAAUGGUCAUUUUGUCACACCGUACCCCCCUGUGCACAUUUUUUAUUUUACAAGGGGGCAAAGUAUAGGCUUUUAAAUAACAGGGGAGGAAAGUAAAAAAAUGAGUUUUGACAUGGAGGUUUUCUGUAAUUUAGUCUAAGAAAAACUUUUUAGUUGGAUUUUUUCCUAUUUAAAUUGACCCCACUUUGGGUCCAAGUUGACCUCAGAUGGGGUCCAACAAAAUUUUGACAAGAAUGCAAUAGUGAGUCUGAUGGCCCACUAAUCUUUAUUUUCCUUAGCAAUAGCAAAAAAGUUAAUAAGAAAAAAAAUUCUAGGCAGAAAAAAUAUUAAUUUAUUUUUUUUAUACAAUACUAAUAACUAGUUCAUUUUUUUUGUAUAUUUUUUCUCUCUUGUAUAUUGACUCCAUGAGAAAAAAUUUCUAGAUCUACCACUACCACUAAUAUGAAGGCUAGCAGAGCCGAAAUAUUUUCAAUUAGGAUAUGUUUAUUUUAUUGAGAGUGAAAAGAGGUAAAAUAAUUUUUGACCAUCAUUUAUUUCGUCAUAAAUUAAAUUAAGCUAUAGCCCAACUUUCCUAAAUGUCAUAAUUCAUUUUACUCUAGCUGGCAGUGAAGUCAAUUAGGGAAGGAAAAAUAACAUAAAUGAGAAAGCAAAUAAUGUAAGAACUUUUGGUAAAACAAAUAUACAUAUAGAAUCCGACUGGAGUACUGUCGAUAGCACCAAGGAUUUGGUGCUAUCGAGUUUUCUACUGUUAAAUUUAACCCUUUGAUUAUUUUUAACCGUCAGAUUAUACUAUUCAACCAACCACUCACUCAACCCUAAGGGGCCCACAUCAUCCUAACCAUCCAUUUAUCAAUCCAAGGACUAAAAAAUCAAUAGCACCAAUAGUUUUGUGCUAUUGAUAGUAUUCCAACCUAGUUCUAAUAUAAUUUCGGCUUUUACGCAUCUAUUACCCAUCAGAUAAACACCAAAAUUGGUGGUACUUUUAGCUCAAAACUAGUAACUUUGUACUAUACUAAACGACCAGCAACAAACAGUAACUUUUGCAGAAAUUUAGUUCAGCGAUAAAAGUCAAUUUCAACUUGAAAAUCAGUUGCGACUUGCCUGAGUAAUAUUAAAUAGCAAAAAAACUGUCCUAGAAAAGACUGCGUCCAGAAAAUUUGACAUUUUCAAAUUUAAAAUGGCGUGAUAAGUUUGAAAUAAUUCAACUAUAUGGACUGAUUGGACCAACACAGUAAAUGUUCUUGUUUCCCAGUAUUAACUUGAUUUCUCCCUGCUUUAUCAUUUUCUUUAUUUACUCAUAUUCAAUCCAUCCAACUAAUGAUCUUAACUAGGAUAUAUAUGUUUCUAUUCCUGUAACGAGAGGGUACAAAUAUAGUUUGAGGCGGAAAUUUGAAUAGAUUGAUCUGAAUCUUGCUUUUAGUGAUAUUCUUGAAAAGGCACAUGAUGCAGAAUACAAAUAUAGUUUGAGGCGGAAAUUUGAAUAGAUUGAUCUGAAUCUUGCUUUUAGUGAUAUUCUUGAAAAGGCACAUGAUGCAGAAUACAAAUAUAGUUUGAGGCGGAAAUUUGAAUAGAUUGAUCUGAAUCUUGCUUUUAGUGAUAUUCUUGAAAAGGCACAUGAUGCAGAAGAAUGAUAAAUACAACUUAUAUAUAAUACAAUCCUAUUAUUAUUAUUAUUAUUAUCAUGCAUUGGACUAUAUUGAUCCUGAUGUUUUCUGUUCGGCGAAAACUCUGCAGUUAAUGACCCCUUCGUCAUUGCUCCGCGAGCGAAAGACUAAUCCCGACAACAAGCAUUUGAAGUUCCUCGCUGACGGCUCCAUGCGCUCGGUCUCGAGCUCGACGCUCGCGGAGAAGAUGAUCACAAGGUGAAGGUCGCGAAAGUCGAGCAGGGCGGAGAGUUCACCAUCUCAGGGGCUGAUGAGAUCCUCAAGGCAAUCUUAAGAUGAAUCAUAGCAUCUGUCUCUCAAGUGCUUUUAUAGCUGUUGCUGUUGGUGUGUUGCCUUACAAUACAGUAAAUGAGGCAAUAAUAUUAUGUCUGUUUGCAGUUUUGCAGUGUUCUGUAUCUUUAUACUUUUUCUUGUAGUUGACUAAGUUGCUUGUGAAUAAAAAGUAUAAGACUUUGGUUUGUUGCUUUCUAGUCUCAUACGAUCUUUCGGAUUAGUUGUACUCACACAAUAGUCCUUCAGUUCAUUCUUUACAUGUGUUAAUCAAGAAAGCACUUUGGACUGAAUUAAUGAAUGAAUCAAACAAAACCCUACAUUUUAUAUUUUAUAUAUAUAUUAAGAGUAGGUCUUGUGUGGUAUUAGGAGCACCAAGACCUCGGUGCUUCUAAACCAUUUUCGAUGAUGGAGCUUCCAAAUAGACGAUCGGCUCCAUUAUGCUUAAUCUAACGUAUUUGAAGUAUCUAGAAAAUAAAUUUUACUGUUUUUCACCUAGCAAUCAAAAGAGUUCAAAAUCAACGGCUAAAUAUAACAGCUUAUUCUGAGAAAUAUAUCACAAACUGCUCAGGUUUGUGAUAUAUUUCUAAGAAAGAUAUUGACAUAAAACGAACCGCCAAUCACAGUCAUUAAUGAACACCUUCACCAUCAGAAUCAGUUAAUCACAGCAGCAACAUCUUGUGAUCACCUCAUCAAAAUUGACAAAAAUAAUUCAAAAGCCCAAAGAGAAUCAAGAUGAGAAAAGUUCAGAGCUCAAAUUUCGACAAUCAACACUUCUCAGUUGAUUACAUGAUUUUCAUUUUUUUUUUUUUUUGGUCAACAGCUCAAGAUAAAAGUAAACAGAUAAGAUCAAACUAAUUCAGGCUGAGAUGAUAAGAGCAAUCCGAAAUACUGCUCAGAAGGACCACCCCAUGAAACACCCCCCUCAUUCUCCAGGAUUAAAGAAACAAAAGUCUUACUAUCUGUUUCCUCAAUUACCAAGCAAAAUAAUACAACAUGAUGCUUCUAUCUAAUUGUAUGAAAUCCAUACUUAUCUAGAGAACAAAGUGAUCUCGCUCAGAGCUACCGACUACAAGAGUGGACACAAAGUAGAAUUAAAUAGCCAGCAAAGAGUUCCACCUCAAACAAUACUAAUAUUUCUUCAGUAUAUGUUACAAGUUGGCCGCCCAAGGGGGUGACGAAUAUAAUUGAAACUGCCGCUUGCCCUACGAAAUAGGCAUUCAAUGCUUCCUGAUGGGACGAGAAAACUCAAAGCAUUCAAAAAAGUUUUCACAAUCUUGGUUUCUUCUACCUAUAGCAAGCAUCACCCACCCUCCAGUUGAGCCCUUUAAAACAUGAAACAGUGGAAGCAAUCUGCAUCCCAUCUUGAGAUAUAUUUUACAUGCACAAAAGAAGAUUAUAUCUCUCCCCUGUAGCCACCCGAACCAAAAUAAUCCCGCCUCGAACCAGCGAUUGCCAUGGUCUUUUGAUGCUCCAACUUUGGGCAAUCCUUAAUACGAUGCCCGAGCCCACCACAAUAUGCGCAUCCCUUCACUCCACUAGCAUUUGUAAUUGCAUCCUCAUCCUCCAUCGGAUCAUUCAAUUCCGCCAACACAGGCGGUAUUCUUUGCUUAGCUUCUUGAAGGAGAUGCUUUAAGUCGAGAAGUGUCGUCUCCGUCUGGUUCUUGUUUAUGAACGUUGUGGCGAUGCCCGUCUUCCCGCACCGUCCUGUUCGGCCAAUCCGGUGCACGUAGUUCUCAAUCUCAGCAGGCAUGUCAUAAUUAAUCACAUGCUGGAUAUCAGGAAAAUCAAGACCCUUGGAAGCCACAUCAGUGGCAACAAGUACAUCCUUUUUCCCCGACUUGAAGGCCGAGAUUGCAUACUCCCUCUCUUCCUGGUCUUUCCCACCGUGAAUAGCUACAGCUUCAACGCCCUUUAAGAGGAGAUAUUCAUGAAUGUCGUCCACAUCAGCUUUGUUCUCGCAGAAUAUUAGAACUGGCGGUGGUGUCUUUUGGAGGCACUCGAGGAGGUAUACAAUUUUGGCUUCUUGUUUCACGUACUCAACUUCUUGUAUGACAUCAAGGUUUGCAGCACCAGCUCGACCUACAUUGACGGUUACGGGUUUAACAAGGGCGCUCUUCGCAAAGUUCUGUAUCUUUUUGGGCAUGGUGGCAGAGAAGAGCAGAGUCUGCCUUUGUGCUUUGAAAUGAUCAAAGACCUCCCUGAUGUCAUCCUCGAAGCCCAAGUCAACCAGUCUAUCAGCCUCGUCCAGUGUUAAGUACCUGCAUGAUAGAUUGGCGACAGAAUGAUGAGACACGUGCUUGAUAUUCAUAUUAUGUUGUUAAACUGUCUGGCUGGAAGACUUUAGUAAAUUAUGGAUGUUCUGGGGGCAGAAUGUGAUAAAUAGGAAGCAAAACAUAAAGUAACAUAUCUUUCUCUUUAAGUUAGAUCAUGCUUUUUUGGAUAGUUUGGUGAGCAGAUUUUUACUAACAAAAACAAUGCAAACAAUGUUGAACUUCCAUAGUUGGCUUGAUUGAAAAAGUAUCUAUGCUGAACUUAUGUGUUGCAUUUAUUUUUGCUUUGUCUUCAUGGAUUGUUUAAACAGUGCUUAAGAGGCACCAAUCAAGUUUGGAUCUCUUAAGUGUUGCUUUUAUGUAUAAUGACCAAUGCAGACCUUAUGUGUUGCUUUUAUAUUUUUCUGUCUUAAUGGGUUUAAACAGUGCUUUGGAGGCUCCAAUGAAGUCUGGAUACAUUAAGUGUUUAAAAUCACUAAGAUCCUGUUUGGAUGCAUGAUUAUCUUGUUUGGUAUAUCCCAUUGAUUUACUCAAGAAAUUUACAUAUUUGAUUGAUGAAUGUGAUCAAAUGUUUAGAAUGAGAUCUGAUAUUCGGACUUCAAGUUAUUUUUUCAUAAUAAGAUAAAUCACCUCACGAGUGAAAUAUGCUAUCCUACCAAAUCAUGAACAACAAGACCUUUGAAGAAGCAAAAAAUCAAACUCCGUACUUACAAUCAUACUAAAAAAUUCUCAUACGAAAUAAGUCAUCCUUGGAUAAUUUAUUACGACCUAAAUGUUUGGGAUGAUUUAUUAUUCAAUUUCUUUAUUUAGGCAUCAGUAAGAAAAAGUUUUGGAGCUUUAAUGAAUUUCAUCUUUUAGAUAAUUUUUAAAGCCCAAGUCUAAAUUACUUUGCAUGGUCCAUAUAAAGAGCAGAAAGUCGGAACUUCUGGAAAAAUUUUUUAAAAAAUUGUGCUAUACUAGAUAUUCAAGUUGACUAAAGAUUUUGUUUCAUCCCGUACUGUUAGGAAAGGUCUUACACACAUUGAAGGCACGAUGAGAAACCCAUAUGAAUUACAACAUUUUGGCACUAAAGUAGGCACCAUUUGGUAGGGUCCUCCGAGGUAAUGAAUAAGGUACCAUUAACUUGAAAUUUAGUUUUUCUUUUCUCUUCUCUAAUUUCAAUCUUCAUAUGCCUUUUCUAAUUUUUACUACUUUUGCUCUUGUAGUUUUAAAUAUCUACAUCUUAAAAGCAACUGUCCAUUUUGCACUCAUCUUCUAACCUUCUAGAUCAAUUUAGAACUAGUUCAAUUACCUGCCAAUCUAUAACUCAUAGAUACCUCAACUCAUGACCAAGUUAAAUCUAACUCUGUGCAUAUCAACAUUCUAGGUAGAUCUAGAGAAUGUUUUCGCACAUUAAAGGUUGACACUUACUAUUUCACAGCAGAUUUCCAUAUCCCUAAUAUUUGAUUUAAUGUUAUCAGCAUAAUUAAAUGAGGUUCUACAGAAUCAGGGAUGUUGUUUAGGACCGGUUUAGGUGUAUGAUAAAUCACAUCACAGCCAGAAUGGAAUAAGAUCAAGCUCCUUGGUUGCAAUCAUAAAAGAAACAGCCAUACCACACAAGUUAUCAGCGGAUAAGUUUUUACAACAUCCAAAUAGGUUCUUAACGUAUCCAUGAUGUAGUCAUGCCUACAAAAUUUGUUCAAUUUUUUCCGUUCAUACAAUUUUUACAUUCAUCAUACUAAACACUUUAUUCUUCUGGUUUUUAAUAUUUUGUCUAAUUGAUCAAAGUAUAUGUCGUGAUAUCCACACUCCUUCUCCAAUGUAUCUGAUCCAUAUUUCCGCGCACGCAGCCAAAUGACUCAAUUUAACCAGAAACUCUCUAUCGUAAUCCUAAGAAAAGGCCAACAUAUCAAUUUUAAAGUAAAGCACACUAAACCUAUAAAUUCCUGUUGUUAUGCUGAAGCGUGAAGGCGAACCUUGACAGGAGCUACAUCACGGGGAUUUAAAAGUUCUUCAGAAGAGCUUAAGUUAAUUUCGAUAAUAUGAUGUUACGGGGAUCCAAAAUGUUUCAUCUGCUCGCUAAGGCAAACUCAAAUUUGUUGGAAUCUCUCGGAAUAAUUCUCAUAAUCGAGAACCUCCACGGGUUCACAAGAAGAUUAAGAUGAAUCUAGCAUUCUAGCACGCAAACGCUACAGAAGGGAACGAAAAGGCAAACCUGCAAUUGUCGAGAUUCAUCUUCUUCUUGGCGAGCAAGUCCUUGAGGCGGCCGGGCGUGGCGACGACGAUGUGGACGCCCUUCUUGACGACCUCGAGCUGGGAGCGCAUGUCGACGCCGCCGAUGCAGAGGAGGGGGCGGAUCUCCGGGAAGCCGUGGUCCCUGAGCGGGGCGAGGAACUGCUCGACGACCUCGAAGGUCUGGCGGGCGAGCUCGCGGGAGGGGCAGACGACGAGGCCGAAGGGGCCCUCGCCGGGGACGACGGGCAUGAUGAGCUCCUCCUGGAGGGCGGCCAUGAUGAGGGGGAGGACGAAGACGAGGGUCUUGCCGGAGCCGGUGAAGGCGAUGCCGAUCAUGUCGCGGCCGGAGAGGACGACGGGGAGGCCCUGGACCUGGAUGGGGGUGGGGCGGACGAUGCCCUUCUCGCGGAGCUUGCGGAGGACGGGGUCGGGGAGGCGCAUGUCGCGGAAGGAGGGGAUGGGCGGGGGGACGUCGUCGCCGUCGACGAGGAUGUGCCAGCGGCGGCGGAGAUCGGCGGCGCGGGCGGGGGGCAUGCGGCGGAGGCGGAGCGGCGGCUUCCAGCCGGUGGGAGGGGUCGGAGUAGGUGAUGCCUUGGCGAGCUCGCGCACGGACAUGAGCGACUUGCGGUCCGACAGGUGCUCGAUCAUCUCCCGCUCCUGGAGCACCAGCUGCUCCGCGGGCUGAUCUCGGGGGCCUCGCGCUCAGCUGGGAGGCCAUGGCGAGGAGGCUCGGCUUCGAGGACGAGGAGGGAGGAGCCGCUGCGGGACGGCGCUGGGACGGGGACGGAGACGGGAACGGGGCGCGGCGUCGACGGGGGCAGGGACGGGGGCGAGGAGGAGGAGGACGAAGCGGCGGCGGAACGGGGGGGAGGAGGGAUCUGCGUGGAGGAGGAGGAGCUUCUGGCCUCGAGGCGCGGCGCUUGUGCACGGGCACGUACUCCUCGUAGUCGUCGUCGCGCCGCCGUCAUCAUCUCCGGCGCCGGCACCGGCGACGGUGGAGGGAGCGAGGUGGCAGCCAUGGCGGGGAGGCUGCGGGAUUGGGGGAUCGGGGGAGAACGAUGUGGAGAGAGAAUGGGAGUCGGGGGUCUGGACCUGGGUCUCUAUAAUCUCUCUGUAAUAGCACCGGCGAUGGGUGAUGGGUUAUUAAACCGAGCCGGAUCCGACCCGAUUGAAGUCAACGGACCGAGCGAGUAACAGUAAACCUGGGAUUUUACCGGACUUUUUCUAGAGUCAAACGGUCCGAUUAUUUUAAAAUAAAAUAAACGAAACGAUAGUAUUUUAUCGGGCUUUUUUUGCAUUUAGAUCCCUGGCAAAUUUUUAUUUUAAAAAUAGCCUUGUCAAAAUUUAAUUGGCAAAAAUGGCCCUGCCACUGCCACGCAUAGCGCCACGUCAGCGCCACGCGGGCAGGGCUGGGCCCGUGUGUUAAGUUGAACACGGUGAACCAUUCACCGUGUUCAAACACGGUGAAUGGUUCACCAUGUUUAGUACAUAUUUUUUUGUUAUGUAUUUUUUGUAUAUUGAAAAGUAGAAUAAGAAGUAGGGAUGUCAAUAGGUAUGGAUAUCCGAAAUAUGAUUCGAAUUCAAACCCGAAUAAAUAUAAUAUAUAUAUACAUAAUUUAUUUUUUGUUUGUUUAUUUAUACAAUAUAUAAAAUAUUUAAUAAUUUUUAUUCCUUAGAUCUUUAUCCAACCCAGCGAGUUUUAAAAAUCUAUACUGUUAGAUGAAGAUCUAAGGAAUAAAAAUUAUUAAAUAUUUUAUAUAUUAUAUAAAUAAACAAAAAUAAAGGUUUGGAUUCGGAUAAUAUUUCAGAUAUCCAUAUCUAUUGACAUCCCUACUCCUCAUUCCACUUUUCAAUAUACAAAAAAUAAGUACUAUACACGGUGAAUCAUUCAUUCACCGUGUUUAGACACGGUGAAUGAUUCACCGUAUUCAACUUAAUACCUUGGCCCCAGCCCUGCCCGCGUCGUGCUGACGUAGCGCCUGCGUGGCAGGAACAGGGUCAUUUUUGCAAUUUUUAUUUUGAUAGGGCUAUUUUUAAAAUAAAAAUUACUCAGGGGGCUAUUUGCAAAAAAAAAACCCUAUUUUAUCUUUCUCUUAUUAAACAGUUAUUCAGUCACUGUAUUUAAAAUAUGGUGACUUAAUUAUUGCGUUCAUAUCAUUUCUAUUUUUUAACUUAGAAAUUAUAGAACUAUAGAAAUAUAUUAAAAAAAAAAAACACUGUGAUCUAGUCAUCGUACUCAUAAAUAAUGGGAAUUAAAGAAAUAUAUUAAAAAUACAAAAAGGACGGUAAUCCAAUCAUCAAGUUUAAAACGGUGAUUAAAUCACCAUGUGGAACUUAAAAACCCCGACAUGAUCUUUUACUGUUUAACGUAGCACUCGCGUAGCAUGAAGAGGCUCAUUUAUAUAAAUAUAAAUUUACUGGGAUAAUUUAUAAAAAAAAAAAGACAAAAUUGAGGGGGCUCAAUGUAAAAAAACCACAAAUUCUAAUCCUUCAGCUUAGUUUCCUUAUUAUGAAAGUUAUUGGUGCUAGAAACACUUUCUUAAGAACAUUUAAGUUUUUAUAUUUGACCAAACCUAAUCGUUUGGUGAAAAAUGUAUAGAGACCCCCUCAACUACAGGCGUUGGAAGAAUGAGAUUCCCUCAGCUCCUAAAUUUUUAAGCUUUUAUAUUUAAUUAAUUUAAGAAUUUCAUCAAAUUUAAUGACUAUUAGUUAUAACUGUUAAUUGCCCUAAUUUUAUUUACCAAAAAACUAAUUAAAGUCAUCAAAUUUGUUCAAAGUUAUUAAUAUGUUUCCUAAACUAUUUAAAUUUUUUUACUAAAAUUUCGUAAUUCUAAAAAAAUUAUAUAUUGAGAGAGCAUCAAUCAGAGAGAAAAAAGAAAAAAGAAAAAAAAAAAAAGAGAGAGAGAGAGGGGAUCUUUCAAAUUGAUAAAUAGUUGAGGGGGUCUCCAUACAUUUUUCACCUACAAUUUAUAGGAUCAUCCAAGCAAAGAGCACUCAAAAAGAAGAAAAAAAAUGAAAACCAAGGACCAACGAUUCUACAGAAGUACUGUUUAAGUAGAUACAUUGGAAGCUGGAUAUUUUGCUACCGGAAAGCUCACUUUUGUUUCAGCUUUUAAACAUCAAAAGCCUUGUUAAUGCUUUUCGGUGUAAAGCUGCUGCAAAUGCCAGGCCGAGGCUGAGGCCGAGACCGAGGCCAACGAUGCAUAAACAUUGAAACGCAUGAAGUUGGUUAAACAUGAAAAAAAAAAAAACAAAAAAACAGAAAAAAAAAAAAUAAUUACAGAAAAAACAAAAAAAAUCAGAGAAGGCAAAGGCAUCGGAAGAUCGCCUGAAGAUCAUUGCACCUUCGUUACACUCAAAAACACAACCACCUUAUCAAAUAGUUACACGAAUAGGUUUACGAGAAACUGAAAGAAAUUCCACUAUAACAGAUUUUCUUGAAAAGAGAGGUAAAUCCAACUUGUAAAGAUUUGGGCACAUGUACAUCAACUUACUGCACAAGAUCUGCCGUAUGACAAACAAAUACGGCCGGUACAAGUAUACACUGCAGAGUGCAGUAUGAACCCCAGUUUGGAAAUUUUUCUUUAAAGGCAGGCAGUUUGAAGGGGCUCCGGAGCGAAGGCUAUGAGAGUCCUGGACUCGAUAAAAAUUUUAAAGAAUAUGCUCAACUUCUAGUUCUGUACUCAAAAAAUAAUCAAGCAGGAUUGACACAGCUUUGUUGUUUCAACCAUUUUGGUAGUUUCUGUCGGGAAAAUCGUGAGCUGGGUGUCUAAACUGAGGAACUAAGCAUCUGCAUCUGCUUGAGAAAAUAGAUAGGAUCAAUAAUCGCAGAUCAGAAAAACUCGUAAAAAAGAAGGAAAAUAAUUAAUGGGUAAAAUCCUUCUACCUUGUUCACAAGCAAACUAACUUGCUCUCUGUACAUCUCCUUUAGGUCGACAAUAUCGGCUCGCAGCUCCUCCAACUGUAAUUCAAUGUUGUGAAAAGAAAUGCUUAAGUCAAGCGAAGGUACAAGGAGAUAUUUUGGUUUUUCCUUUCAUACGAAAAGAGGACAAAUUAAACUGAACAUUUUCAGCUCCAAAGUUCAGACAUCAGAUCACAGACAUGUAAAAAAAGGAAUACCACAAAACAAUGCGAUUGGAGCCACAGAAAUUGUGCGAGUCUUGGUGAUGAACUAAAUAAGACAGAUAAAACUGAGAAAGAAGCUUAUUUCUUUCUAAACCACACUAAGAUAACAGAUUCCUCACCCCAUGCAACUUGAUGUCACUGAAGAGGAAUCACUCCAACAUGCAAGAACAUUAUCACAGUAUCACCAAAGAAAAAAUUUACAGUGAAGGUACUCAAGUGGAUUAGUAAUUUUCAGAGGCUAGGUAAAAUGUGGAUUAUUAUUAAGUUGAUUGUUCUCUGGACAAAGUUUGGUAUGUGUGUGAUUAACUGACAAAACAACAAAUUAUGAUAACAGUGCAAAAGAGCUCGAUACCUCUUCAUCACGUUCGCCCAUAAGCUCAAGUGCUGCAGAGUGGCGCCGCCUUAAAGCAUCCAGCUCGUCCCGCAAGCGAGGCAAAACAGCUGCUUCUACCUUCAACUUUUCGUACUGGCAUGAAAGAGCUUUUCAUGAUUAUUACGGAAAAUCCUAAAGCACAGCAGAUCAAGAUUCAGAAAACUUUAGUUAGUUGGUCAUUACUUUCUCAGUCAUUUUCACCAGAUCCUCAGCUAGUGAGUUACGGAUAGACUCCAACGAGGCCUGUAGAAAGUAUAAAUUAAAAUUGUAAGGAUUCCUUAUUCCAUACAGUUUGAUGGUUCAGUCAUUGAAAAUUUUAAAAUGGAAAAGAAAAAGCUCGCGAACACUUUAUAUAUCAUAAGGGAAAAACACAUGAUAAAGUUUUAAGAAAGAAAAGAAUGAAUGGAAAAUAUGAACGAAAAAACAACACCGUCAAUACUACAACAGAAAACCAGCUUCAUCAGGCAAUGCAUAACGAACUUAACAAAGCACGAAAAUUCAUGAAUCAUAUAAAACUAGUUCUCCAAGGAGAGCCAAAGGUUUGACCAAGUUACUAUACCAGUAGUUCUCAGGAAACACACAAUGAAAAGAUAGACCUUACUACCUGAAAAAAUGCUAAAUGAGAAUAAAGAGAGAGCCUAGCGAUAGCAUGUAAAGCAAACAAGAUGCAUGACAGCAUGAUUCUUUGGAAAGAAAAAAAAAAAGAAGAGGUAUUUACACAUCUCUGCCCAUGAACAAAUGCAGUUUAAAUAGAUGGGACAUACAUCAGCAUGCACGCUAUAACCUAUACCUUGAUUGGUCCCAAGGGCAAGUGUGCUGAUCAGACAAAUCCUAGUUGGUUCAUAGAAUAGGACAGUGAUGUGGACAUAACUUGUAAGUGAGCGAGUUUCAAAUAAGAUGGAAAACAAGCCAGCCUAGCGCUUUUUCAUACAGUAGAAUCGCGCAAAACUAUAUUUCCAUUUUCUGUUUACUCUAGCUCACUAUAUAUACAAAUUGUUUUCGGAGGAGCUACAGACAAAGAAAUUUGUCCAUUUCUCCAGAAGAAAACUGCAACAUCACAUCUUUCUCUACUUGAUGACCUUCAAAAUAAAAAUAAUAAUGUUGCAUACCAGGCGCGACAUGUAAGAUUGCAGUUCACCAUCCUUCUGACGAAGUGCAGCUUCGAAAGCAUUUGGUGUCAUGCUUUUGAGGAAAUAUUGGGAAACAUUACUUUCCCCGGACAUUCUCCUUUCAGACAGGAAGCCAUCAGACGAAUCCAAAGAUGCUUGCAAGAAAAAGCUUUCUUCAAUGCUAUUCAGACUCCCAGCACUUGAAAGUUUUCUAAUGGGGUAGUUUCCUUCAAAGGAGAAAGAAAAGAAAGAAACAAAGAUGAGCAGAAGAAUCCAACUAAAGGAUCAAGAAAUUCAAUUUCUAUAAGAAAUUGCAACAAAUGGACAUGAAAUUACUCGUUAGAUCUUGAUUGACAACUUUAGGUGCUUCACGAGUAGCAACUUUUUCUAAUUCUUCUCUAGCACUUCUUUCCCUUUCAAGUUCCUGAAAAUAUAAUUAUUCAAAAAGUUGAUGUUGUAAAUGUUGAAACACAUACGUUCAUAACUGAUUAUGGAUCAAAAGUAAAUCAAGACUGUUCAACAAAAUCAUAAGAUAAGAUGGUGCAUAAUUUACUUUUGAUCAAAAGCAAAAGCAGCAACUGAUUUACCUCACGUCACUGAAUUUUUGUAGGGAUAUAUAGAAAUUAAAAAGUAAUUGUCAAGCGUUAGGAGAAAUGAACCCAGCCAAUGAAUUACUAACAAGGAGUAAUAUCUCCAAUGAAUAUCAAUUGCUGCCUACGGCAGCCACCUGCUUCUUCAUAAAGAGAAAACAUGUUUUGGAAGAGCUUUUAAGAUGUUAGUCUAUGAUGUGCUGUCAUCACUACAACCCAUACACCAAAUUACGGCUCAACAAGGGAAGACUAAUGGAAGCUAUUGCUACUAAAACGGGAAAUCAUAUUUGUGGAAGCGGCAUUACAAAAAUAUCUAAAUUUAUAGGCAAGUUAUAUUUUGAGGCAAGAUGAUGUCAACCUUCUCAAGAAGUUCUUUUGACCCUGUUGCUUCUUGCAACUCCUUUUUGUGCUGCGUCCUAAGCUCCUUAAUUUCAUGUUCAAGUUGUUUAGCCCUACCUUCUUGAGUUGCAGCUUCCUCUUUUAUAGCUAGAUAUUCUUGCCUACUUUCAGAUGCUCGCUGUCGUUCCUUUUCAAGAGACCGACUCAGCUGUGUUUGCUCUGUUCUAAGACAUGUAAUCUGUGAAGAAUAAUAUCAAUAAUUAGAUAAUAAAUUCUUUGAAAUCCAAAUAUGCCUGCAAGAAAACAAAUGGAGAAGGAAGAACCUGGGUCUCUAAAACAGUUAUUCGAGAUGAACUUUGAGAUAGACGCUCAUUUAGAGAUCGCUCUCUUUCCUCUGCUGCUGCAGCUUUGGCUUCUGCCUCCUGUCAAUUCAAGUUAAAUAUUGUUAGAGCCUCCACACAUCAGUGUCAUCAAAGGGUACCGAAAUAUGUACUUAACAAUGGACAAAACAAAAAACUUGUCGAAAACUAAAAGUGGCCCUCGCAAUGAUAUCAGCACUUGUUCUAGAGUUGUAAAAUUGAUGCAUUUUCUUCAAGCCAUACGACACGUUAGUUUCAUGUUUUAGUCUCACAUAUCGUUAACUAGCGACAUCGACAAACAAUAUACAAACACCGAAAUAAUUAAGGAAGAAGCAAACCUGGAGGCGAGAGUUGAGAGCCCUCUCUACGCCAGUCCAAGCUUCUGCUCUCCGAGCAGCUGUCUCCUGUAAAGUUUAAAAAUUACUAUAAUCGGCUGCAAUUCGGUAUCAUAAAAAUGCAAAAACUACAAAAAGAAAUAUUAUAUUUAUAUUCAUAAAUGGUGCAUAAUAUGCAAAAAGCUAAAAGAACGAUAUGUGUUGUGGGGGGNNNNNGGGCGGGGAGAGGGGAGCUCUUCAAAAAAAUGACCUGCAUUGCUUCAAUUUGCCUUAAAAGCGGCCUGGUUGACUCUGGAACUUGUGUGAUCAACUCAUUAUAGCGAAGUUCACUGGCCUGGAGAGUGGACAAUCCAUGAUAAGGUGAAAACUUUUAAAUCCAUGAACCAUAUCAGCACAAGAGUACAAAGUUGUUGCCAGAUAAUUGGAAAGCAACACUCACUUGAUAACGCUUUUGAAGAUCAUCAAAAUCCCUUUUGAGCAUUUCCUCUCUAAAGGCAGCCUGCUUGUUACUUAAAAGAGUGAAUUUUCAUGUAGUGACAUGUUUAUAAAGGAUUGAACAUCCCAGGCAAAUAUACCAAUAUAAGUUAUGAUCAUUUCAAUAAGUGAAGCUACAAAAACAGAUAUUGUAAUAACAUAAAAAACGAGAUAUCUGGCUUCAGCAGCUACCUCUUGCUCUUUCCUAGUCAAUGUAUGUCUAAGCUCCUCGAGUGUCUGAACAAGCAUUGCUUCCUUUUCACCAGCUUCUCUUAACCGACUUUCAAGUUCAAUUUUGGCUUCACUGUUGGCUCGUGCCUCUGCUAAUGCCUCAGCUUCUUUUGCUGCAUUAAGUGCAUUGGCGUAGAAUUCCUUCUGAGCAGCAAGUUCUGUUUGAUUCCUCUCUAUGGUUUCUUGCAACAACUUUUCAGUUGCUGCCUUGUCUCUCUUAAUACUUUCAACUUUUGUCUCCUCUACCUAGCAUUUUCAGGAGCAAUUAGUAAAAUGCUAGCCAAAAGAAAAUGUUCAGGAAAACUACAUCCAAGGCUAAACAAGAAAAGAAAUUAUUCUUCACUAAUUUCUAUCCACAAAAAGAAAGGUGGAUAAAAUGAAGACAGUCUUUGAUCUAGAAACCUUUACAAUAACGUGCAGUAAACUUUUUGUUAAGUUAAUGAAUUCUGGAUAGAAAUGCCAUCAGAAAAGCUGUAGUUAGUUCUAUAAUACAGAAGUUGCCUGAUGAAUGUUUCAUAAAAAUCCCCUUAAGUGCAAUGAACAAAUUAUUAGAUAACAAAACUAAAAGGCAGAGUGUAGUAGUACAGGUUUCAUGUGCACAGUAAGAGAAAAGUGAAAGACACAUUUUGUAGUAGCAACCUCCUCAUGCUUUCAAUUAAGCAUCAAUCGCCAAUUUACUUUUUUGCUUUUUAACUUAGAGGUGGAGUAGAGUACACCGACACAAUCCUUCCAAUUGUACAGACAAUGCUCCUAAAUAAAGCAGCACUAAGUUAUAAGAUGUGCAUCUCUUUGAGUGCAGUGUUAUUGAACAGAUCCAAUAAGAUUUCAGUAUGUUGAUGCAAAGACAAAUUUUCACAAAUAUGUUUCAUCCCAGAAAUAGUAAUUUGGACCAAAUUUAGCACAUGUAACAAACUGCAGCACAUGAAAAAUAAAUUUAUAUAAAAAAUUCCAAAGAUGAAGCACUUUUUUCUCUUUUCCUCUAUAAUACAAUUCUUCCUAAAAGGAUUCUUACGUCCACCCCAUAACAAAUUUUACCUGACAAAUAAUUAUUUCUCUUAUUAUAACUUCUUGAUGUAUCUAUAUUUAAAUAAUCAUUUAUGUGAGUAUAGAACAAAGAUGAACUACCGUUCAACAAGUAAAUCAGAAAAUGUGUUCUUAAAUAAGGAAAAACAAUGUAGCUUAAUAUAUAUGUUGUCCAUUUAACGAACCUACAAUGUCAUACGUUUGUGAAAAGAACUGAAUCUAGUGAAGCAAAUUUUCACGGAUUUAAAUGGCUGAUAAUGAAGAUUGAUUGUUUAAUUACCUGAAGCCUUGAGUUGAGCCUUUGCUUUUCUUCUUCAAGCUCACGAAUCUGGCUUCAGUGAAACAAAGUAGCAAAAGUUGAUGAAACCAAGCUAUUCGUUUAAACAUUAACAAAAAGCGAAAAGAUCAACAGUUUAUAUAUCAUGCCUGAGCCCUUAGUUUCCUUAUAGUGCCCUCUUGUGCAGCUUGUUUUUUCGAUAGCUCUUCGCCUGUUCCACAAGUACAGAGAAAUGAUAAUAAGAACUAUGCAGGUAUCCAAAAGCCAUAGCUGUGGAAUAAUAGAGAGAUCACACACCAAAUUACAUGCAAUAAUGUAAAUACGAUGUCAUGUCCUGUUAAUACAACUAGCUUUCUAGUGAAGCAAAUUUGUGAAAUAUUCAUCGUAGUUCUUAUUAGGUAAACAAACAUUUUGGCAGAGUCAAUUAUAAUUGUCAAACAUCUAGUACUAGAAGUUACAUCAAAUACUCAAAAUACAAUACCAGAUUUACCAUUAAUAUGGGAUCCAAGUAAAUCAUUACAGAUGUUACUGUCACGUCAACGAAGAGAUUAAGGUCAUUGUAGCUUGACCUUCAAAUUUAAUGUUAUAGAAGGAACUUGAGGUUAAAUAACUAACAACUUUUGGUUUACUUUCAGAGCAUACUCGCUAUCACGCAUUUAGCAUUUUUUUUUGCAGAAAUAAAAUCCUUCAUUCAGAUAAGGUCUAUAAAAGCAAGAAUUUAUUUGUUGAAGAACAAGGUUUUGCCAAAGGCUCCCCCAAGGCACCCAGUGAGUUAGCAGGAUGGCAUAUCUUAAGUCAGAUUAGAAAUGAACAUCCUCUGAAAUUGAAUAACAAAGUUUAAACAAUUCAACCGCCAAUAUGAUAUUUUAUUAACAGACUACUUGUUCAAAGUAUGAGAACACCAAAAUCAUAUUAGCAAAUACUGUCAGCAACACCAAGUAUAUUUUUAAUAGUGGUUGUCCAGUUUUAUUUAUUUCUGUUAUUAAUUUUUGACAAUUUAUGGCCAUUAAAACCUUAUAUAUCUCAUGGCAUCAUCAUACUAGAAAUCAGCCGCUCGCUCAAUGAAGUGAUGAAUGUAUGAAAGAUGCAGCAGAAUAACAUCUAAAGGACAAUAAGAUAAUAUAAAUGCCCAAGAUUCCUAGAGGUGUACCUUCAGCCAUGACUUGAUUGAUUAUCUCAUCCUUUUCUUUCAAAAGAGCAGCUGCAUCACUUUUCUUACUUUGCUCCCUCCUUAAUGUAUCUCUUUCCCUGGUCAGUGCAUAGACCUACGAAAUGCAAGGCAACAUGUUAACAGGAAAGCAAAUAUAUUCUCCAUGCUCGCAACAGCAUAUGACAAACUCUUUUCUGUGUCAGAUACAAUACCAUAAAUGAACACAAUAAGAUUACAGGUGAGGAAAAAGCUUAAUUUCAUUUUCAACAGUCUAUGGGCUGAGCCUUGUGCAAUAGUUACCAGUUACCACACCCAACUCCAAACUUGAGUGACAUUAAUGAAGUCCGACUCAUAGUAGUUAUGUUGUGACUAUCUAGUGAUAAUUUACCUCUGUUCCGUUACUAAGCAGAGUUUAUUUACAUUCGCUUGAUGUGUUGCCAUGUGUGUGAUGCCAGUGCGCGUAACAAAGAGAGGGGGGGAAUAGAGAGAGAGAGAGAGAGAGAGAGAGAGAGAGAGAGAGAAAGAGUGAGCUUCAACGAGGAUCAAAUGUACCUUCCUUUCAAGAGAUGAAACCCUUAGGUGAUAUUCCUCUUUCAGCGCAUCAAUUUCAGAAUCCAUGGACUUCCUCUGCAAUAAAGUGAUUGUCAAAAGAAUUUGAUAAUAUGCAUCAUUGAAGAAAGAUUCACCAAACUGAUGUCAUUGCUCCCAAUCAACCAUCAAGAGUUAAAAAGCUACAUUGGACUUUUCAUGGACGAGGAUCAACGAUGUUUCAAUAAUAUGAUAGAUCAUUAAUAUGGUAGAACAAAAAAAAGAAAAGAAAAUCACAAGGCCCAUGACUACCUUCAAAUCCUCAAUUACAGAUUUCAACUGCUCAUUCUCAUUCAUCAAUUUUGCAAUGUCAUCAGCUUUGGCCUGCAAAAACAUCAAUCCAUAUAAAAUCAAACAUUCCAAACAAAGGGAGCUUUCAAAUUUUGAUAAGGAUGGAGACACUGUUUUAGAAAAAAUUAAAAAGUUUAUGCUUUUGCAAAAGGCUGCCAAGAUAUAAUUGGUACUGUAACAAAUAACAGGUAACAAGAAGUUUUACUAGGACUGUAUCUUGGAUAAGAGAUAUGAUCCAUUACAUUCACUGUUGCCCAUUAAGCUAUGCUAUGUCAUAAGCCUCUCCUAUAGGGACCAUACAAUCAAAGCAACCCUCAUUCAUUUUUAAACAUACACAAAAUGAAAGCAUAACAUAGUGAAGUAGCCACACAAUACAACGUUAUAUGCAUUAUUUUUUUUUAUCAAUUUAUAAUUUUUUAAUUACAAAAUCUAUGUAAUCAGGAACCAAUAUCAGGCCUACUUUUUCACAUUGUCAAUUGAUCAUAUGACAAUAAUACUAGAAUGCAAUUAUUUAUUGCAUGAUAUGGCCUUCCAAAUAACCAAAGUGCCCAUCCAAUCAGUAAUAACAAGAAUGUAGAAGUUCAUUCCUAGGUGUCAUCAUAGAACUUGUUGAAAAACAAAAACAGAGACAGUAUAAAAAAACCAAAUGCACCCAAUAGUUACAUGAUUUUGUCAUUGUUUUUCCCCAAGUUCUUUGUUAUAGUUGAUGUAGAAUUGCAAACAAUCUGCCAUCUGAUUACAUGGAACGUGGGCGGGCAUAAUCAUAAAAGUACGUAAAUACAUGCAUUAAUACGUAGAUAAAUACACACACAUACACUCCUACAUAUACUUAAUGAUAGAAAAGGCAAAAGAAAGACGGGACCGAUGCUGCAUACUUGCUGUGGCAUGUACUGUGCCAACCCAUGACUCAGGUAAUUCAUGUCACGGCAAGGCAAAAUUUGGUCUAAACUCUGAAGCAAAGAACUAAAGUAUAGCAACCCACAGAAAGUAUCAGUUCAAAAGGAUAGUCAUAACUAUCAACUUCAUCAAACAAUCCUAAAGUGCACAAAAAAAUAGUUACCUGGGCUUGUCUGGCAGCACCUUGCAAUGCAGCUUCCAACACACUCAUUUCUUUUUUUAAUUUCUCAAUUUCGUGAACAGGAUCAGAAGAACUCAGUAAAUUUGUUGCUAUGACAACUGAUGAUUUCUUCUCCUCUAAUUCAGAAUCCUUUCCCUGAGAACUUACUUCCGCCAACUCACUAGAUGCAUUAGCAGGUGGUAACGGCUCAGAAAGUGAAGUUGAAUCCUGCUCAGAACUGAUUGAUUCCUCAUGAUUAUCAGAUUGCUUAUUUGCAUCAUCAUACCUUGAUCCAACUGAAAUUUCUUUGGACUCUACUCCAUGGCUAACUUGGCUAUUAUCUACACCAUCAUCGUGAUCAGGAGAAACUUCGCCAGAAACUUGAUCAUCUUCCUUCUCAAAUUUUUCAUGGCUCUCUUGUGAAUCGCUUGCAUGAUGUUCGUCAUCAGGUGUAUUGAGAACGCUGUUCUCAGUUUGUUCAGCAUGCUCAACAGUCAUUUGUUUGGAAUCUUCUGCCAGGGAUAAAUCCCUGGUUUCAUUUUCUUCUUUUUCCUUUUCUUGGUGUAUAACAGAAUCUGUUGCCUCCGUAGUUGUGGCUAUUGAUAUAUCUGUUUGAGCUGGUACAUCAGCUGUUCUAUCAUCAAUUUUGUGCUCGUUAAGUUCUUCAGUCUCCGAUGGUGUGACACUAGCAGUUUGAGGACCAAUGUCUUUAACCUGUUCAAGAUCUUCCUCAUCCUUCUCAGCAGAAAUUACGGUUUCUUCUUUAGAUAUAGAUGGCCCUUCAGCAGAAGAUCUAUUACUUUCUUCGGCUGCUGGAGGGUGUUCUGGAGAUGCUAUUUCAGUUGGUACUUCAGAAGAACUUUCAUCUCCUUUAUGGCCCAUGAGGGCCAUGACAGGAUCAAAAAGCCCUUUUGUAUCUGGCAAUGAUGCCCAUGAUCCUGAUGCUGAUGGAUCAAAAGAGAAAAAAAAAAAACAUCAUAUAAGUAAUUGGCACUAUGUAUACAGCUGCGAAAGUAAGUUAUAUUCGAAUAGGAACUAGAGUAUUGGCCAUCACUAUGCGGUGGUAAUAGGCAAAUUACAAUUUAGAUUAAGGGGAAAGGUGAAAUUAUUUACAAAAGCAUAGAGGCACAUAUAAAACCAUCAAUUUUAAGAAAUCUCACACACAUUGGAAAACUUCUAGAGUUAGGCAGUAAUUAAAUUUUGACCUCUUAGUAAUAAAUUGCAAAAGGGUCGGGUUACAAAGGGCAGAAACAAGAAGUGAAGAUGAUUAGCUUGUGCAUCCAAAUUGUUUAAGAUGAUAAGCUCAUGCAUCCAAAUCGAACUCCCAUAUGAAAUCACGAACUUCUCAUGUAAGGAACACUCAUGCAGCUAAUAUAAUGAGGAAUAAUCUCAACCCUACGGGGAAUAAUCCCAACCUCCUCCAACCCCCUCCCACAAAACACCCAGAGUCCACAAGACAUGAUUGGAUCAUUUAUCAGUAGUCACUACAGACAGAAUAAAUAGCUUAAUGACACAAGAAAGACUGUUUUUGUCUCAUAAUUAUAUUUGCAUUAAUGAGAUGCCAAUUAAUUUAACUAAAGAAAGAACAAAAUUAGUUCUAAUUUUCAAGCAUUCAAAUUUUAAGAAGAAACUUUUGAAAUAUAUGAAUCUUGCUGCUAUCAAAGAAUUUCUAUUUCAAGAACAAACCAUCAUUCAUAUCAGAUCUUGCAGAUAUUCAAGAUUUACUCUUUUUUGGCAAGAUAGACUGUCAUCGCCUUCCAGUAGCCACCCUUAAAGACAAGUUAUAAUUUGAUUUCAUGUGCUUCAGGAAAUUAACAAUCAAUUCAUUCAACACAAGCUACAAGAUACGAGAAAAUGAAGCAGUUAAGCAAAGCAUUACCUUCUUCACCAUCCCGUUUCUCCUCCAAUCCAAGGGCACUGUCGAAAUUCUUCUCGAUGUUCUUCACGCUCUCGCUUAUCUUAUUCACCGCCCCUGCCAAAUCCUGGAGGCCUCCCAACGAGACCUUACCGAACCACGCCAUCCUCUAGCUGAUAAAAGAGCUACUCUUGUUUCAACGUCAAAAUUCCAACAUAGUAUACAUAGAUCUGCCACAAAAUGAGAAGGUCAAGAAUGUCUCCACGGCAUUUAACCAGUAAUCAUCACCCAGCCCUCUCUAUACAGUACCCCCUAAAUUGCGUAUAAUUAAGCAUAACAAUGGUAUUAACACACGAAUGCGGACCCAGGAUCGAGCAUUCCUUUGUCGAACAUGAUCUAGAUCGCGUUAAAUCACUCUUUCUUCCUCGAUUCAAAUUGCAACAAACACAGAAACAAACAAGAGGCCAAACGCGAUCGAAUCCGAAGCUUCCACGUACCUCGGGGAAACUCGGGAAUCUACGAACGGGAUCGGGAGAAGCGGAGAUCCGAAUCGGAGGAGGGGCUACGAGAGAUCCCGAAUCUAGGGUUCGGGAUUGGGAGAGGAGGGGUUUGGGGCCGAUCUCCGCCGAGAUCGACGAGGUUGGCGGGGGUGGGGAUGAUGGGGUGGAGGUGAGAGAGAGAGAGAGAGAGAGAGAGAGGAGGGGAGGUGCGAUACCCGCUGUAUAUGUAAAGCUCUCGCGGGAUCGGAUCGGAGCGCACGGAGGAGCGCGCCGAGUUCGAGUAGAGAGAGGGUUGGGCGAUUUCGCCGACUCCCAUCCGGUCGGUGGAUCUGAGAUUGGGCAACUUAACCUUCCAGUGGACCCCACCUCCACUCACACUCCGUUUGGCACUUUCAGGUUCGAGUCCACCGCACCUCUAUAAAAAUUAAGGGCUUAAUUUCAUUCUCAUCCUAGUAAAUAUAUUUUUAUAAAAUUUAAUUUUUUUAUGUUGUUUUCGUAAAAAUUCUGAUGCUUUCAAAUAUAUCUGUCGUAGAGUACGUUAGAAAAUUUUAGUUAAGUAGCUUAAAUAUUUAAUCUUGAUUAGUUUUUGAUAUUUUUAUCCCUUUUAUAUUAUACUGUUAUAUAAUUUUUGGCGGGAUAUAUUUGUAAUGGUAAAAUUGAAAAUAUAAACAGUUCUUUAAAAGUAAUAAAUCAGAGGGGCAUAUAUAUAUUUGAAAAUAUUAGAACUUUUACAGGAAUAGCAUAUAAAAAUUAAACUUUAUAGGGAUAUAUUUGUCAUGUAUUAUGUUUGUAGGAACUGUAUAAAAUUAAUCCAAAAUUAAAUUAAAUUCUAAAAUUUAAAAUUUAAUUUUUAUAAAUGUGUAAGAGUUUUGGGUAAUAGAAUAAAGGGAAAACUUCAAACCCCUUUGGUUUCACACUUUUUCAUUUUAGUACCCUGUGGUUUAAAAUGUAUCAAGUUAGUGUCCUGUGAUUUCUCACUUUAUCACUUUAGUACCCUGUGGUUUAAAGUGUAUCAAGUUAGUACUCUGUGGUUUUGCACUUUAUCACUUUAGUACCCUGUGGUUUCACACUUUAUCACUUUAGUACUAUGUGAUUUUUUAGCUUGAUAUAAAAUUAAAACCACAUAGUACUCAAGUGAUAAAGUGCAAAACCACAGGGUACUAACUUGAUACACUUUAAACCACAUGGUACUAAAGUGAUAAAGUGAGAAACCACAGGGUACUAACUUGAUACAUUUUAAACCACAGGGUAUUAAAGUGAAAAAAUUAAAACCACGGGAGGGUUUUUGAAGUUUUCCAUAGAAUAAAUGUUGAAGCACCCAAUUUGUGCUGCUAUGGAUAGACGAAGAUCAAGAGCAUGCCGUUUCGGAAACGGCAAGCAUGCAUGCAAAAGGACAAUUGUCUGGCUCGUUUAUACAUAAGUCUAAUCGCAAACAAUAUAGGAGUUACGAUAUGAAACUAAUUAAUGUCUAAAAUGUAUUGGAAUUUGUAAUCAGUGUUAGCUCGUUACGUAGUCUACACUCACGAGUUCACUAUCCAAUCCAAGUCUACAAAAUAGAAUCUAGACACGAAGUCCCAAAAAAUUAGAUCAUAUCUUAAUGAGUUAAUAAUUAAUUAGUCUAAAUAAGCAAUAGUGAUAUCUGUUGGGCAAUAAUUUGUGUGGAUAGCUAGCACAUGGCGUCCUCAAAUCCUUUCACUCUUUUAUGUCCCUCCGUUUGAAUGUUAGAUCUCGCUAUGUCUCAGGCAUAGAUCAAAGAGAGAACGGUCCGAUCUGGUCUUUCAAACUCGAAAUGGGUCGGACCUCCAGUAGUAGUCCCGAGAGUAGAUAAAUGGGUCAAAUCUUGGUAGGAUCAGCUUCUAAAUCUUAGUCAUUAGUUUAGGCCGAGAACGGGUAGCAAAAACUGUCACAAGUCAAUGGUCCCUAGUGGUAAUGAAACUGCGUGUGGUGGCGCCGGCAGCUGGUGGGCGAGUUCUUUGACUAGGGGCAAGUUGGCUCGGUACGUGUUGAGGACUGUCGAAGAGAUGAUCGAUGUUUAGUAGAGAAAUUCCUUGCAAAUGGGGCCUGGUAAUUCUAGUCUACAGCUACUCCUAAGUUAAUAAAUUACUCAUACUUCUAGCGCAAUAGAGGGUAAAAAGGAUUGUGAAGAAAUUUAAGAGGAAUCCUUUCUCUUAGUACUCUUUUCAUCUUUUAUAUCCUAAGUAGCUAUCCUAAUGUAACCAUAGCUAGGAUAAGCUUGAUAGUACUUUUCCUACUUACCAUGCCUUUAGCACAUCUUUGACCGUACUUUAUGUGUCAUGUGGUUUGUUUUAGCGGUCACAUUUUGUUGAGGCCUUCACGGUGCUAUUUCUUACACUGAACUGCUCUUGCCACAAAAACUUUGGUGGCCUAGUAUGGCCCUCCCAAUUUGGUUACCACUUGCUUAAAAUGAUAUCUUUAUUUUCAAUAGAAAGGACGACUUUCCAUACUAAGUCUUUGAGAGCAAAAUCUUUGACUGAACCCUCUUAUUGUAGACGUUAGUCACCCGUUUCUUAUGAGCAAUCAUAUUAUGAAGCCACGCAAAUCAUGCUUCAUCAAGCCUUUCUAGUUUCAUCAUCAUAGCUUCGUUAUAUCUGGAUGGUAUUAGGUCACCCUACAUCACCAUUCAGAGAGAUUCCAAAUUAAGUAAUUUCCAUUGGAAGUACUGUGUCGUCUUUAUACGUGAGUGAGAAAGUCAUGUCCCCAAUAGCCAUCAUCACUAAAGUCUUGCGGGCCCAUAAUACGUUGGACAAUUACUCAUGCCACAUCCUUCGGUGACCAGACGCGUGCCUUUUCAUCAAGCCAAUAAUCACCUUAUUUGUAAUUUCGACAUGCCCAUUCACUUGCAUGUAAAAAGGUGUUGAGUUUAGUUACCCUAAUUCUUAUCAACUUGAGUAUCCAAUCACCUUAGCUCUAGUGAACAUCGCUCUUUGGUCAACUAUUAUGGUUUCAGGUAUGCCGAAUCGAUGUAUGACAUGCGUCUUGAUGAACUCAAUGACCUUCUUUUGUGUUGCCUUCUUCCAAGGAAUGGCUUCUAUCUACUUUGUAAAAUAGUUUGUAGCCACAAUCAGAAAGUUAUGACCCUUAGACGAGUGUGGGUAAAUCUGACCGAUCAAAUCCAUUGCCCAUCCUCGAAAUGGCCAUGUUUUGAUUAUUGUGAACAUAUCAACGGUCAGCAUAUGUUGAAUUGGACUAUGCUUCUGGCACUCAGUGCAUCCCUUCACAUAUGAAACACAAUCCUCAUAUAUCGUUGGCCCGUAAUACGUGUCAUCUGAUCAUUCAUCUUAUCUUGGGGCUUGCCUAGCAGGACCUACGAAUAUAUAUAUCGUCAAUAUAGCUUCUUCAGGAUCGAGACAUUUGGCAAAAACCUACCUAUCCUCUUUCGAUAAAGUUGCCCAUCUAAAGGGCUAUUUGAUUGCACAUAGUGCAAUUGCAUUGUAGUUGUAACUGCAUGAAGAUCCAAAUAUGUCAUUUGUUUUGAUGCAUUUGAAUUCAACUACUAAAGUUGUAGUUGCACGAAAAAGGUCAAUUGUAGCACUUGGAACUACUCCCAAAUUGGCUGUAGUUCUAACUGCAACACUUGGAAAGAAUAAUUUUAAAUAAAUGUAAGCUCACCUUUCUAAUAAUUUUUAAGUAGAUUUUUUUCCUUUCCUACAUAGGGGAUAAUCUCACCGCCCCAUAUAUAAAAUGAUAGAAAUUCGUAAAUGCACUUCUCAACCACAAUUCUCACCACCCUAUAU
rnacentral:lncRNA from 1 species